CUAAUACAUGCAAGUCGAACGAUCACUUCGAGUGAUAGUGGCGCACGGGUGCGUAACGCGUGGGAAUCUGCCCUUGGGUUCGGAAUAACUUCUGGAAACGGAAGCUAAUACCGGAUGAUGACGUAAGUCCAAAGAUUUAUCGCCCAAGGAUGAGCCCGCGUAGGAUUAGCUAGUUGGUGGGGUAAAGGCCCACCAAGGCGACGAUCCUUAGCUGGUCUGAGAGGAUGAUCAGCCACACUGGGACUGAGACACGGCCCAGACUCCUACGGGAGGCAGCAGUAGGGAAUAUUGGACAAUGGGCGAAAGCCUGAUCCAGCAAUGCCGCGUGAGUGAUGAAGGCCUUAGGGUUGUAGAAGCUCUUUUACCCGGGAUGAUAAUGACAGUACCGGGAGAAUAAGCUCCGGCUAACUCCGUGCCAGCAGCCGCGGUAUAUACGGAGGGAGCUAGCGUUGUUCGGAAUUACUGGGCGUAAAGCGCACGUUGGCGGCUAUUCAAGUCAGAGGUGAAAGCCCGGGGCUCACCCCCGGAACUGCCUUUGAAACUCGAUCGCUUGAGUCCAGGAGAGGUGAGUGGAAUUCCGAGUGUAGAGGUGAAAUGCGUAGAUAUUCCGAAGAACACCAGUGGCGAAAGAGGCUCACUGGACU
rnacentral:rRNA from 1 species